CGAACCUCGCUGUCAGGUAUACAUCGCUUUGCCAUACACCUUGACCUGAUUAAUUCCAACUUGUGGACAAGGUUAAAAGGUAAUCCUUGUGGAUACCUACACGAGGAAAAUGCCCUGAAAUCAGGACAAAUACUCCCAUAUGCGGUAAGUAUCCAAGUUCCUGAUGACAUAACCAUUCCACAGGGGACAAGUAACUUUCUUUUACCCCUACAGGUCAAGAAGGG